GUAGGUGGCAAGCGUUGUCCGGAAUUAUUGGGCGUAAAGCGCGCGCAGGCGGUUCUUUAAGUCUGAUGUGAAAGCCCACGGCUCAACCGUGGAGGGUCAUUGGAAACUGGAGAACUUGAGUACAGAAGAGGAAAGCGGAAUUCCACGUGUAGCGGUGAAAUGCGUAGAGAUGUGGAGGAACACCAGUGGCGAAGGCAGCUUUCUGGUCUGUAACUGACGCUGAGGCGCGAAAGCGUGGGGGGAGCAAACAGGAUUAGAUACCCUGGUAGUCCACGCCGUAAACGAUGAGUGCUAAGUGUUAGGGGGUUUCCGCCCCCCCCUUAGUGCUGCAGCUAACGCAUUAAGCACUCCCGCCUGGGGAGUACGGCCGCAAGGCUG
rnacentral:rRNA from 1 species